CGUCUCCUUUGUUUCCCUGCUGCUGCAGCUCUUCUUUCUAAUAAGAAACGACUGUGCCCAUAGUAAAGAUGGCGCUCGCUAGUUGUCACCUGUUACCAUAGCAAUCGAGUGAGGAAGUGUAGCCGCAUUGUGUAGCCAAGACACGGCUGCCCGGUUCUCUGAUGCGCGAUCCCGGCUCCGGUACAGACGGGACUAAGAAGGAUAAAGCCAGCGCCAUGGAUAAGGCUUCUGCUCUGACUCCCGACCUCAAUACGUUUUUAGUGGCGACCAGCUGCAGCGACAGAGGCGGCUAAUUCAUAAAUGAGUACUUGGCUCGCCCUCGCUCAGCUGUCUUCUUCCGCUCUGUAGAGGUCAUUGAAGUUUCCUUUCAAGAAAAUCUUUUGGGACAUGAAAACUAAAACCCCUGGCUGACAAAGCAGCAAAUGCUUAGAAUUGCUUGGCAGGUUUUCCGUUCCCAGAAGACCCUUUUCCUUCCUACGGCGAAAUUUCCGGAAGUAAUCUUGGAUCAGGAAAGUGGCGUAAAAUUUCCCCACGGUGACUUCUUCUUCUAAAAGACACAAUAAAU